rnacentral:rRNA from 1 species
UACGUAGGGUGCAAGCGUUAAUCGGAAUUACUGGGCGUAAAGCGUGCGCAGGCGGUUGUGCAAGACAGAUGUGAAAUGCCCGGGCUUAACCUGGGAACUGCAUUUGUGACUGCAUGGCUAGAGUUUGGCAGAGGGGGGUAGAAUUCCACGUGUAGCAGUGAAAUGCGUAGAUAUGUGGAGGAACACCGGUGGCGAAGGCGGCAUCCUGGACCAAUUCUGACGCUGAGGAGCGAAAGCCAGGGGAGCAAACGGG